UAUUGGACAAUGGGGGAAACCCUGAUCCAGCCAUGCCGCGUGAGUGAUGAAGGCCUUCGGGUUGUAAAGCUCUUUUAGCGGGGAAGAUAAUGACGGUACCCGCAGAAUAAGCCCCGGCUAACUUCGUGCCAGCAGCCGCGGUAAUACGAAGGGGGCUAGCGUUGUUCGGAAUUACUGGGCGUAAAGCGCACGUAGGCGGAUCGGUCAGUUAGGGGUGAAAUCCCGGGGCUCAACCCCGGAACUGCCUUUAAUACUGCCGGUCUAGAGUUCGAGAGAGGUGAGUGGAAUUCCGAGUGUAGAGGUGAAAUUCGUAGAUAUUCGGAGGAACACCAGUGGCGAAGGCGGCUCACUGGCUCGAUACUGACGCUGAGGUGCGAAAGCGUGGGGAGC
rnacentral:rRNA from 1 species